GUGAAAUGAUGAACCAGUUUAUCCAUUCUCUGAGCGGCCAUCUUGUCGCAGUCAUCGCCUCUGCUCCCGUUCUGGGGGCGGGGCCUCUCCGCUGCAGUGCUGGUGUUGUCCCGGCGUUCUGCCGGACGCAACCCGAAACCGCACGGAGAGCGACUCGACGUGACCGCUGCCAAGACGAUUUGCUGCUCUGAUCAU